CAAAGGUUUGGUCCUGGCCUUGCUCUCAACUUUUACUAAACUUACACAUGCAAGUAUCCGCGCCCCCGUGAGAAUGCCCUACAGUUCCCCGUCCGGGAACAAGGAGCUGGUAUCAGGCUCGACACCUUCAGCCCACAACACCUUGCUCAGCCACACCCCCAAGGGAUUGCAGCAGUGAUAAACAUUAAGCUAUGAGUGAAAACUUGACUUAGUUAAAGAUAAUCCUGGGCCGGUCAAAACUCGUGCCAGCCACCGCGGUUAAACGUGAUUAUGGCCCAAGUUGACAGCCUACGGCGUAAAGGGUGGUUAAGGAAAAAAACAAAACUAAAGCUAAAUGCCCCCCCGGCUGUUAUACGCUCUCGGGGGUAAGAAAAUCAACAACGAAAGUGGCUUUACCCCCCCCCCCGAUUCCACGAAAGUUAUGGUACAAACUGGGAUUAAAUACCCCAUUAUGCCUAACCCUAAACAUUGAUAGUAAGUCACACCCACUAUCCGCCUGGGUACUACAAGCACCAGCUUCAAACCCAAAGGACUUGGCGGUGCUUCAGAUCCCCCUAGAGGAGCCUGUUCUAGAACCGAUGAUCCCCGUUAAACCUCACCUCUUCUUGUUCCUAUCCCGCCUAUAUAUCUCCGUCGCCAGCUUACCCUGUGAAGGCUCAUAAAGUAAGUCAAACCGGUGAAAAUUCACCCCCAACGUCAGGUCGAGAUGUAGCUCAUGAAGAGGGAAAAAAUGGGCUACAUUCCCUGGUUACAGGGCAUACAGAUGACAGACUGAAAUUUCUGUUUGAAGGUGGAUUUAGUAGUAAGCAGGAAAUAGAGUGUUCUGCUGAAACCGGCCCUGAAGCGCGCACACACCGCCCGUCACUCUCCCCAUGCAUAAACUUCCAAAACAUAAUUAAUUUGCUAGACUUGCACAAGGGGAGGCAAGUCGUAACAUGGUAAGUGUACCGGAAGGUGCACUUGGCUAAUCUGAGUCUAACCACAAUUAAAGAUUACUUCUCCUUUGUUCUUACCAAUCUGCUUGUAAAAAUUGUCCUGCACAAAAUAUCCGCGCAACCCGGACCGGCCCGCCAUACACAGCCCAUCCUCGAGAUAAUCAAACAAAUUACUUCUACUAGC
rnacentral:ncRNA from 1 species